CUACGGGUGGCACCAGUGGGGAAUUUUGCGCAAUGGGGGAAACCCUGGCGCAGCAAUACCGCGUGAGUGAAGAAGGCCUUUGGGUCGUAAAGCUCUUUUCUUGGGGAAGAUAGUGACGGUACCCAAGGAAUAAGCACCCGCUAACUCCGUGCCAGCAGCCGCGGUAAUACGGAGGGUGCAAGCGUUGGUCGGAUUUACUGGGCGUAAAGGGCACGUAGGCGGCACAGCAAGUUAAGGGUGAAAUCCCGGGGCUCAACUCCGGAACUGCUCUUAAAACUGCUGAGCUAGAGAUAGUCAGAGGCGGGUGGAAUUCCAGGUGUAGAGGUGAAAUUCGUAGAUAUCUGGAGGAACACCGGUGGCGAAGGCGGCCCGCUGGGGCUAUUCUGACGCUAAGGUGCGAAAGCGUGGGGAGCAAACGGGAUUAGAUACCCUGGUAGUC
rnacentral:rRNA from 1 species